rnacentral:rRNA from 1 species
CCUACGGGAGGCUGCAGUGGGGAAUAUUGGACAAUGGGCGCAAGCCUGAUCCAGCCAUGCCGCGUGAGUGACGAAGGUCUUCGGAUUGUAAAGCUCUUUUGGCGGGGACGAUAAUGACGGUACCCGCAGAAUAAGCCCCGGCUAACUUCGUGCCAGCAGCCGCGGUAAUACGAAGGGGGCUAGCGUUGUUCGGAAUUACUGGGCGUAAAGCGCACGUAGGCGGAUUGCUAAGUCAGGGGUGAAAUCCCGGGGCUCAACCUCGGAACUGCCUUUGAUACUGACAGUCUUGAGUCCGGAAGAGGUGAGUGGAAUUCCUAGUGUAGAGGUGAAAUUCGUAGAUAUUAGGAAGAACACCAGUGGCGAAGGCGGCUCACUGGUCCGGUACUGACGCUGAGGUGCGAAAGCGUGGGGAGCAAACAGGAUUAGAUACCCUAGUAGUC